rnacentral:rRNA from 1 species
AUUGAACGCUGGCGGCAUGCCUUACACAUGCAAGUCGAACGGUAACAGGUCUUCGGAUGCUGACGAGUGGCGAACGGGUGAGUAAUACAUCGGAACGUGCCCGAUCGUGGGGGGAUAACGAAGCGAAAGCUUUGCUAAUACCGCAUAUGAUCUACGGAUGAAAGCAGGGGACCGCAAGGCCUUGCGCGAACGGAGCGGCCGAUGGCAGAUUAGGUAGUUGGUGGGAUAAAAGCUUACCAAGCCGACGAUCUGUAGCUGGUCUGAGAGGACGACCAGCCACACUGGGACUGAGACACGGCCCAGACUCCUACGGGAGGCAGCAGUGGGGAAUUUUGGACAAUGGGCGAAAGCCUGAUCCAGCCAUGCCGCGUGCAGGAUGAAGGCCUCGGUUGUAACUGCUUUGUACGGUAACGAAAA